rnacentral:rRNA from 1 species
AAACUUUCAACAAUGGAUCUCUUGGCUCUGGCAUCGAUGAAGAACGCAGCGAAAUGCGAUAAGUAGUGUGAAUUGCAGAAUUCAGCGAAUCAUCGAAUCUUUGAACGCACAUUGCGCCCUUUGGUAUUCCUUAGGGCAUGCCUGUUCGAGCGUCAUUUCAACCUUCAAGCCUGGCUUGGUGUUGGGUGCUUGUCCCGCCCCCGUGCGCGGACUCACCUCAAAGACAUUGGCAGCCGCAUCACCCAGCCGCGAGCGCAGCACAUUGCGCGACCGACGGGGGGAGCGUGCUAUCCAGAAGCAUUUCUAGU